UACAGAGGUCCCAAGCGUUGUUCGGAUUCAUUGGGCGUAAAGGGUGCGUAGGCGGCGCGGUAAGUCGGGUGUGAAAUCUCGGAGCUUAACUCCGAAACUGCAUUCGAUACUGCCGUGCUUGAGGACUGGAGAGGAGACUGGAAUUUACGGUGUAGCGGUGAAAUGCGUAGAUAUCGGAAGGAAGACCAGUGGCGAAGGCGGGUCUCUGGACAGUUCCUGACGCUGAGGCACGAAGGCCAGGGGAGCAAACGGG
rnacentral:rRNA from 1 species